rnacentral:rRNA from 1 species
AGCGGCGGACGGGUGAGUAACGCGUGGGAACGUGCCCUUUGCUACGGGAUAGUCCUGGGAAACUGGGUUUAAUACCGUAUGGUGUCUACGGACUAAAGAUUUAUCGGCAAAGGAUCGGCCCGCGUUGGAUUAGGUAGUUGGUGGGGUAAUGGCCUACCAAGCCGACGAUCCAUAGCUGGUUUGAGAGGAUGAUCAGCCACACUGGGACUGAGACACGGCCCAGACUCCUACGGGAGGCAGCAGUGGGGAAUCUUAGACAAUGGGGGCAACCCUGAUCUAGCCAUGCCGCGUGAGCGAUGAAGGCCUUAGGGUUGUAAAGCUCUUUCGCUGGGGAAGAUAAUGACGGUACCCAGUAAAGAAGCCCCGGCUAACUCCGUGCCAGCAGCCGCGGUAAUACGGAGGGGGCUAGCGUUGUUCGGAAUUACUGGGCGUAAAGCGCGCGUAGGCGGAUUGGAAAGUUGGGGGUGAAAUCCCGGGGCUCAACCCCGGAACUGCCUCCAAAACUAUCAGUCUGGAGUUCGAGAGAGGUGAGUGGAAUUGCGAGUGUAGAGGUGAAAUUCGUAGAUAUUCGCAGGAACACCAGUGGCGAAGGCGGCUCACUGGCUCGAUACUGACGCUGAGGUGCGAAAGUGUGGGGAGCAAACAGGAUUAGAUACCCUGGUAGUCCACACCGUAAACGAUGAAUGCCAGACGUCGGGCAGCAUGCUGCUCGGUGUCACACCUAACGGAUUAAGCAUUCCGCCUGGGGAGUACGGUCGCAAGAUUAAAACUCAAAU